CUUAAUUAGGAUAUAUCAAAAUGAAGAAAAACCCCAAAGCCCACUGGGCAGAGCUGUGGGAAUGUACAAGAAGAUCUACAAGUUCGUCAUUCUGUUACUUCCAAAGAUGCCAAAAUAUUCACUAUUACUCCGAAUUACGCCAAAACAACUCAAGAGGUGGCAACUGCCCUAGUUAAGGUCGUGGAGGAAGAUGAAACGAAAAAGGAAAAUGUUUAUGUAGAUUUCCAUCCUGAGCCACAUAUUCCCAAAGCUGUG